rnacentral:rRNA from 1 species
CCUACGGGCGGCAGCAGUGGGGAAUAUUGGACAAUGGGGGGAACCCUGAUCCAGCCAUGCCGCGUGUGUGAAGAAGGCCCUCGGGUUGUAAAGCACUUUCAGUGAGGAAGAACGCCUGGUGGUUAAUACCCAUCAGGAAAGACAUCACUCACAGAAGAAGCACCGGCUAACUCCGUGCCAGCAGCUGCGGUAAUACGGAGGGUGCGAGCGUUAAUCGGAAUUACUGGGCGUAAAGCGCGCGUAGGUGGCUUGAUAAGCCGGUUGUGAAAGCCCCGGGCUCAACCUGGGAACGGCAUCCGGAACUGUCAAGCUAGAGUGCAGGAGAGGAAGGUAGAAUUCCCGGUGUAGCGGUGAAAUGCGUAGAGAUCGGGAGGAAUACCAGUGGCGAAGGCGGCCUUCUGGACUGACACUGACACUGAGGUGCGAAAGCGUGGGUAGCAAACAGGAUUAGAUACCCUGGUAGUC